rnacentral:rRNA from 1 species
UGCAAGUCGAGCGGACAGAUGGGAGCUUGCUCCCUGAUGUUAGCGGCGGACGGGUGAGUAACACGUGGGUAACCUGCCUGUAAGACUGGGAUAACUCCGGGAAACCGGGGCUAAUACCGGAUGCUUGUUUGAACCGCAUGGUUCAAACAUAAAAGGUGGCUUCGGCUACCACUUACAGAUGGACCCGCGGCGCAUUAGCUAGUUGGUGAGGUAAUGGCUCACCAAGGCGACGAUGCGUAGCCGACCUGAGAGGGUGAUCGGCCACACUGGGACUGAGACACGGCCCAGACUCCUACGGGAGGCAGCAGUAGGGAAUCUUCCGCAAUGGACGAAAGUCUGACGGAGCAACGCCGCGUGAGUGAUGAAGGUUUUCGGAUCGUAAAGCUCUGUUGUUAGGGAAGAACAAGUACCGUUCGAAUAGGGCGGUACCUUGACGGUACCUAACCAGAAAGCCACGGCUAACUACGUGCCAGCAGCCGCGGUAAUACGUAGGUGGCAAGCGUUGUCCGGAAUUAUUGGGCGUAAAGGGCUCGCAGGCGGUUUCUUAAGUCUGAUGUGAAAGCCCCCGGCUCAACCGGGGAGGGUCAUUGGAAACUGGGGAACUUGAGUGCAGAAGAGGAGAGUGGAAUUCCACGUGUAGCGGUGAAAUGCGUAGAGAUGUGGAGGAACACCAGUGGCGAAGGCGACUCUCUGGUCUGUAACUGACGCUGAGGAGCGAAAGCGUGAGGAGCGAACAGGAUUAGAUACCCUGGUAGUCCACGCCGUAAACGAUGAGUGCUAAGUGUUA